GGUGAUGGGAUUGCACCCCUCUCCAGCAUGACCACAUGUUCUGUACAGGUGCACUGAAGCACAGCUCGGCGGAGGUGAGAGAGACGGCCGUGCGCAUCGUCCUGGCCAUUUACCGCCUGCGCAAGAACGCCAUCCCCUACUACCUCCUGGCCAACGACACGCGCAAGAACAUCCUCCACUGGAACAUCUCUGACGGCUUCGACCAGGAUCGACGGGCAGCCGGUAGAAUCCAAGAAGUCAAAGAAGGGAGGCGCACAGCAGGAGGGGAAGAAAGAGGAGAUCCGCAGUCUUCAGGAGCAGCUGGCUGCCAUGAAGGAGAUCAGUGUGUCAAAAAGGCUCCCCAAAACAACCUGGCAGAUGCAGGAGAUGACCAGUCUUCAGUUGUCAACCACUUAGACAAGAUGAGUCCUUCACUGAAGAUGGACUGGACCUGCACUAUUGCUGCGCCGCUGUGACCAAUGUAGACAGACAGGAGCUGAGAUUCUGUUGCACUCGGCCUUGGUCCUUUUCACUGGAGCAAGUCACUGUUAGACUAACUGCAUGUAAGAUAUGAAAUGAUUUACAGUACUUCUCGUCAAAUCAAGAAAUAUGCCAGCAUUACAUUCAAUUGUAUUAAAAUUAACACUUGG
ensembl:lncRNA